rnacentral:rRNA from 1 species
AUGCCUGCCAUCGGAUCAAGGGGAGGUGCUGCAAUUUUAUGGAACAAGGAGCUAGUUUCAUUAGCUUCACAUGCAGUAGGACAGUUUGCUAUCACAGCUAAACUGACGAUCCUCCGAUUAGCCACAUCAUUCUGGCUGACGACGGUAUACGGUCCAGUAGACGACGCUCGCAAGGAUGAUUUCCUCCUAGAGGUGGUGGAUGCUGCUCCUCCUUUAGCCGAACCAUGGUUGAUAAAUGGAGACUUCAACAUAAUCUACGAAGCACGAGACAAGAACAACCUGAACAUUAAUAGGAGGCUUAUGGGUAGGUUUAGAGCGACCAUAGACGCGGUUGGGCUGUGGGAGAUCGAGUGGAAGAACCGUAGGUUUACAUGGAGUAAUGAAAGAGAAAAUCCCACCUUAGUGAGCAUUGACAAAUUCUUCUGCAGCCAAAGUUGUGAAUCCCUCUUCCCAAAAUAUGCCCUCAUGGCGGCUUCGACGGCAUGCUCCGACCACUGCCCACUUUUCCUCACAAGCAUGAAGAGCCCAUUCAGGAAGGCGACGUUCAAUUUGAGUCCUUUUGGAAAAAAUUCCCACACUUCCAUGAGAUGA